rnacentral:rRNA from 1 species
AGUGGCGGACGGGUGAGUAACGCGUGAGAAUCUGCAAUCAGGUCGGGGACAACCACUGGAAACGGUGGCUAAUACCGGAUGAGCCGAGAGGUAAAAGAUUAAUUGCCUGAAGAUGAGCUCGCGUCUGAUUAGCUAGUAGGUGUGGUAAGAGCGCACCUAGGCGACGAUCAGUAGCUGGUCUGAGAGGAUGAUCAGCCACACUGGGACUGAGACACGGCCCAGACUCCUACGGGAGGCAGCAGUGGGGAAUUUUCCGCAAUGGGCGAAAGCCUGACGGAGCAAUACCGCGUGAGGGAGGAAGGCUCUUGGGUUGUAAACCUCUUUUCUCAAGGAAUAAUAUUGAAGGUACUUGAGGAAUAAGCAUCGGCUAACUCCGUGCCAGCAGCCGCGGUAAUACGGAGGAUGCAAGCGUUAUCCGGAAUGAUUGGGCGUAAAGGGUCCGCAGGUGGUUGUGUAAGUCUGCUGUUAAAGAGUGAGGCUUAACCUCAUAAGAGCAGUGGAAACUACACAACUAGAGUACGUUCGGGGUAGCAGGAAUUCCUGGUGUAGCGGUGAAAUGCGUAGAGAUCAGGAAGAACACCGGUGGCGAAAGCGUGCUACUAGGCCGUAACUGACACUGAGGGACGAAAGCUAGGGGAGCGAAUGGGAUUAGAUACCCCAGUASUCCUAGCCGUAAACGAUGGAUACUAGGCGUGGCUUGUAUCGACCCGAGCCGUGCCGGAGCUAACGCGUUAAGUAUCCCGCCUGGGGAGUACGCACGCAAGUGUGAAACUCAAAGGAAUUGACGGGGGCCCGCACAAGCGGUGGAGUAUGUGGUUUAAUUCGAUGCAACGCGAAGAACCUUACC